rnacentral:rRNA from 1 species
AGGAUAAACGCUGGCGGCGUGCCUAACACAUGCAAGUCGAACGUCUCUUCUUUCGGGAAGAGGAGUGGCGGACGGGUGAGGAACACGUGGGAACCUGCCCUUCAGUGAGGAAUACCGGCGAGAAAUCGCCGACAAGACCGCAUAGCCCUCUCUGGUGAGAGCCAGAGAAGGAAAGCUUCGCAAGAGGCGCUGGAGGAGGGGCCUGCGUCCGAUUAGCUAGUUGGUGGGGUAAGAGCCUACCAAGGCGUCGAUCGGUAGCUGGUCUGAGAGGACGAUCAGCCACACUGGGAUUGAGAACGGCCCAGACUCCUACGGGGGCAGCAGUGAGGAAUUUUCGGCAAUGGGGAAACCCUGACCGAGCAACGCCGCGUGCAGGAAGACGGCCUUCGGGUUGUAAACUGCUUUCUCUGGGACGAGAGCGGACGGUACCAGAGGAAGAAGCCCGGCUAACUACGUGCCAGCAGCCGC